UACGUAGGGGCCUAGCGUUGUCCGGAUUUAUUGGGCGUAAAGCGCGCGCAGGCGGCCUCGCGCGCCCGACGUGAAAGCCCCCGGCUUAACCGGGGAGGGUCGUUGGGGACGGCGGGGCUUGAGGGCGGGAGAGGUCGGUGGAAUUCCCGGUGUAGUGGUGAAAUGCGUAGAGAUCGGGAGGAACACCUGUGGCGAAGGCGGCCGACUGGGCCGACCCUGACGCUGAGGCGCGAAGGCGUGGGGAGCGAACGGG
rnacentral:rRNA from 1 species